rnacentral:rRNA from 1 species
UACUACACACACCUGUGAACCUAUUGUAGAUCGAAAGAUCUAUGUCUUUUAUCAACACAACCCUAUCGUAUGUCUAUAGAAUGUAACCAAUUUAAUACAACUUUCAGCAAUGGAUCUCUUGGCUCUCGCAUCGAUGAAGAACGCAGCGAAUUGCGAUAAGUAAUGUGAAUUGCAGAUUUUCAGUGAAUCAUCGAAUCUUUGAACGCACCUUGCGCUCCUUGGUAUUCCGAGGAGCAUGCCUGUUUGAGUGUCAUUUAAUUAUCAACCAUCAAGUCUUUGAUUAGGCUUUUUGGCUUGGACUUGGGAAUUGCUGGCUUUGAGUAGUCGGCUGUCCUUAAAUGCAUUAGUGAGUACGUGCACGGCCUCUUUGACGUGAUAAUGAUCGUUGGUGGGGCUGGAAGCGUAAUUGCUUAUAACCAUUACGAACUUGGGAAAGUGCUAUGUGCAUACGGCCUAAUACGCUGGAAGCAUAGUGUGGAACUAAGGUAGUAGUAAUACAGAAGUGGAAGUGCUAUGUGCAUAUGGCCUGAUCGCUGGAAGCAUAGUGUGGAAGCUAGUAGGAAUAUGAAAGGUGGAAGUGCUAUGUGCAUACGGCCUGAUCGCUGGAAGCAUAGUAUGGAAAUUUAUUAGUAAUCCAAUGCUAGUGGAAGCGCUACGUGUAUACGGCCUUUGAUGACUGGAAGCAUAGUAUUGAAACCCGAGUA